GACGAACGCUGGCGGCGUGCUUAACACAUGCAAGUCGAACGGAAAGGCCCUGCUUUUGUGGGGUGCUCGAGUGGCGAACGGGUGAGUAACACGUGAGUAACCUGCCCUUGACUUUGGGAUAACUUCAGGAAACUGGGGCUAAUACCGGAUAGGAGCUCCUGCUGCAUGGUGGGGGUUGGAAAGUUUCGGCGGUUGGGGAUGGACUCGCGGCUUAUCAGCUUGUUGGUGGGGUAGUGGCUUACCAAGGCUUUGACGGGUAGCCGGCCUGAGAGGGUGACCGGCCACAUUGGGACUGAGAUACGGCCCAGACUCCUACGGGAGGCAGCAGUGGGGAAUAUUGCACAAUGGGCGGAAGCCUGAUGCAGCAACGCCGCGUGCGGGAUGACGGCCUUCGGGUUGUAAACCGCUUUCGCCUGUGACGAGGCGUGAGUGACGGUAAUGGGUAAAGAGGCACCGGCUAACUACGUG
rnacentral:rRNA from 1 species